UCUUGGGUUUUCUUAUAAGUUGACUGCUGCGAGAAGAAACUUGGCUCUUUUUCAGCAUCAUGAUGGGGUCACUGGUACUGCGAAGGACCAUGUGGUGCAGGACUAUGGAACACGGAUGCACUUGGCUCUGCAAGACCUUCAAAUUUUUAUGUCUAAGGCUAUUGAGGUGUUACUAGGGAUCCGGCAUGAUAGAAAUGACCAACCUCCUUCUCAGUUUGAACCAGCACAGUCAAGAUCUAAAUAUGAUGCCCAACCAGUGGUUAAAGCCAUCAGCGCUCGUGAAGGAACUGUUCAGACAGUGGUCCUUUUCAAUCCAUCAGAGCAGACAAGAAAUGAAGUUGUCAUGGUAACUGUUGAGAGGCCGGAUGUAACAAUCUUGGACUCAAACUGGACAUGUAUUAAAAGCCAGAUAUCUCCAGAGUUGUCACAUGAUAAGAGAAGUACUUUAUCUAGAAGACAUCGUGUGUACUGGAAAGCUUCAGUACCUGCCAUGGGAUUGCAAACGUAUUAUGUUGCGAAUGGAUUUGCUGGAUGUGAGAAGGCAGUACCUGCACAACUUAGAAUAUCAGUGUCUUCUGGAAAUAUAUCCUGCCCAUCACCAUACGCUUGCUCAAAGUUUGAGAGCAACGAAGCAGCAAUCCAGAAUGAACAUCUGACACUUACCUUUAGUACCAAGUUUGGUUUGUUGCAGAAAGUAAGCCAUAGUGAUGGUAGACAAAAUGUUAUUGGUGAAGAAAUUGAUAUGUACUCUAGCACAGGUGGAGCCUACCUGUUCAAACCGGAGGGUGAGGCUCAGCCAAUCAUACAAGGUGGUGGGAUUAUGAUUAUCUCGGAGGGCCAUUUGGUACAGGAGGUCUAUUCUUACCCAAAGACAGCAUGGGACAAGUCUCCAAUUUCCCAUAGCACCCGUAUAUAUAACGGUCACAAUACCAUACAGGAACACAUUAUUGAGAAGGAGUAUCAUGUUGAGCUUCUUGGUCAUGAACUCAACGACAGGGAAUUGAUAGUUAGGUACAAGACUGAUAUUGAAAACAAAAGGAUUUUCUAUUCUGAUCUAAAUGGAUUCCAAAUGAGCCGUAGAGAAUCUUAUGAUAAGAUCCCUACACAGGGCAACUAUUACCCAAUACCUUCUGUUGCAUUUAUGCAAGGACUACAUGGAGAGCGCUUCUCUGUCCACACUAGGCAGUCUUUGGG
rnacentral:misc_RNA from 1 species